UUUCCGUAGGUGAACCUGCGGAAGGAUCAUUGUCGAAACCUGCCCAGCAGAACGACCCGCGAACUUGUAUAAACAACCGGGGGCGGGGGGCGUUCUCGCCCCGUGCCCCCGAACGGCGGGGAGACACUCGUGCCUUCUUGCCGAACAACGACCCCCGGCGCGGUCUGCGCCAAGGAACUUCAACUAAAGAGUGCCUCCGGUCGCCUCGGAAACGGCGUGCGUGCCGGGGGCGAAUCUUGUGCAAAACCAUAACGACUCUCGGCAACGGAUAUCUCGGCUCUCGCCUCGAUGAAGAACGCAGG
rnacentral:misc_RNA from 1 species